rnacentral:rRNA from 1 species
UUGACCUCAAAUCAGGUAGGACUACCCGCUGAACUUAAGCAUAUCAAUAAGCGGAGGAAAAGAAACUAACAAGGACUCCCCUAGUAACUGCGAGUGAAGCGGGAAAAGCUCAAAUUUAAAAUCUGGCGGUCUUUUGGCCGUCCGAGUUGUAAUCUGGAGAAGCGUUUUCCGCGUCGGANCGUGUACAAGUCUUCUGGAACGNAGCGUCAUAGAGGGGGAGAAUCCCGUC